rnacentral:rRNA from 1 species
GAUCAUGGCUCAGGAUGAACGCUAGCUACAGGCUUAACACAUGCAAGUCGAGGGGAAACGACAUCGAAAGCUUGCUUUUGAUGGGCGUCGACCGGCGCACGGGUGAGUAACGCGUAUCCAACCUGCCCACCACUUGGGGAUAACCUUGCGAAAGUAAGACUAAUACCCAAUGACGUCUCUAGAAGACAUCUGAAGGAGAUUAAAGAUUUAUCGGUGAUGGAUGGGGAUGCGUCUGAUUAG